UACGAAGGGGGCUAGCGUUGCUCGGAAUGACUGGGCGUAAAGGGCGCGUAGGCGGUCUGUCACGUCGGGAGUGAAAACUCGGGGCUUAACUCCGGGCCUGCAGUGGGUACGGGCAGACUAGAGUGCGGUAGGGGAGACUGGAAUUCCUGGUGUAGGGGUGAAAUUCGUUGAUAUCAGGAGGAACACCGGCGGCGAACGGCGGCCCCCUGGCCGCAACUGACGCUCAUGGUCGAAAGCGUGGGGAGCAAACAGG
rnacentral:rRNA from 1 species